CCAAUAGCGUAUAUUAAAGUUGUUGCAGUUAAAAAGCUCGUAGUUGAAUUUCGGGAUCAAUUUAUUGGUCGUGCUAUUGUACGUACUGGUAUUAUUGAUUUCUACCUUCUGACGAACCAUGAUGUCAUUAAUUUGGUGUCUUGGGGAAUCAGGACUGUUACUUUGAAAAAAUUAGAGUGUUUAAAGCAGGCUCACGCUUGAAUACAUUAGCAUGGAAUAACGAAAUAGGACGUUUGAUUCUAUUUUGUUGGUUUCUAGGAUCGACGUAAUGAUUAAUAGGGAUAGUUGGGGGCAUUAGUAUUCAAUUGUCAGAGGUGAAAUUCUUGGAUUUAUUGAAGACUAACUACUGCGAAAGCAUUUGCCAAGGAUGUUUUCAUUAAUCAAGAACGAAAGUUAGGGGAUCGAAGACGAUCAGAUACCGUCGUAGUCUUAACCAUAAACUAUGCCGACUAGGGAUCGGAUGAUGUUAAUUUUUUAAUGACUCAUUCGGCGCCUUACG
rnacentral:sRNA from 1 species